UCCAGGUUAGGUCUAAACGUUUAUAGAUAUUUACGUUCGAAAAUUCCAUUUACAAAAACCAUCGGCUAUGCAAAUUAAUAUAUCUAAAUUCAAAAUAUUUAUUUCAAACCUCGUUUCCUGAUAACAAAUGUUUCUUUCUGACAUAAUAUAUUUGUAAGCAAUGAAUGUUAAUGUUAUUUCUAACGUACAAUAAUAAACUCAAAUGUCUUAUCUUAAUUUACAUAAAUUAUUCUAUAGGUUCACCUCGUACGUUUACCCAUGCACAUGAUAAUUUUAUGUGUGUAUAAUUGAUUUGUGUAUGAUAUAUGACUUAUUAUCUUUGACUUAUUAUCUUGUUAUAAAUAUAUAUGUAUAUAAGAUUAUUGUGUUUCCUUUAAAGAGGCUGUUAAGUCCGUUCUGCUCAUGCGCGUGUUUUGUUUACAUUUUUAUUUCGAACAACUGCAAUAGAUAAUUUAAUUUAAUUAUCUACUGUUUGAAACAAAAAUGUAAACAGAACACGCGCAUGAGCAGAACGGACUUGACAGCCGCUUUGAAUUAAUGUACGUCUUUUUCGUAAUCAUCAUGAAUAAACUUAUUACAGUUAGGUUCACAGACUUUGCACCAUUAAAGAGAUAUGGCAAUCCAAGUUAGGUUUGUCUGAUUUGAUAGAACCUUUAAAAUCAUAUCUAAAUCUCCUUUACUGGUUAGCCUUUUAAAAAUACUUCAAUAUAGAUGAUUAAAUAACAAUUAUUAGGCCCCGUUUAAACGACAUACUUUUCCUGGGCCGAAUUUAAUUCAUAUUUUAGUCGACUACAGAAUAGGCGUGUACUUAAUUUUGAUUCAAACAGGCGUGCUUUUCAUGAGCCGUACUUAAUUAACUGCGCUUCUCCCCUUCGAAUCCCGGGACGAGUGACGGUCACAACAACAAAAUUGGCGGUCUUUUUGAAAUAAUAUAAUCUCAUACGAUCUUUGUAGUUCUCGUAAUUAAACACCGUUUUAAAAAGCUACAAUAUGCAAACCGAACAUGAUUCCUGGACGGAAAAAGGUUAUUUUAAAAGGAAAUUGCUUAAGAAGAACAAAACAAGAAAAUUGUUAUCGCCACUGUUACUCUGGGAAGAAUAGUAUUGCGAACUGCUAUGGUUUACUGCCAUAAUGCAUUCAUGAAUGAUGCGAUACACAUUGAAUGCAUUCCUAUUUUGUUUCCUUUAUAUGUGAUACAGACAGCCAUGUUGUCAAAAGAUUCCAGCGUGCUGCUAAUUUUCCCGCAUCGGAGAACGAGAAUUCACGAAUGUUUUAUCAUAAUUUAUGAAUCUGGUACGGCUCAUGACACAACUGCGUGAAUCAACCCGUGCUUCAGCCGUGAAAAACGCCGUAAGCAGCGAACAUUUUAAUUCAGCCGUUCUUAAUAAUUUAUAAAGUACAGUACUAAUUUGAUUCAGAUGCCGUGCUUCUCAUGUACAGAAUUCAUUUAAUUAAGUUUGGCUCAUGUAAAGUACGACGUCUAAAACGUUUAGAACGUUGUCAGUCAGAUUGUUAAUUAUAAUAUCGACUGAAGUAUAAUUUUGCAUUUAUACGGAUGACCAUUAUUUUCCAGUUGAGUCAGUUUUCUUUGAUGUACCGCGGGACGUAUAUACAGGUUAUAACUUGUGAAUAAAUAAUUAGAUAAAACUUGUCGAAACAUUCGAAAAAAUCUUUAUGGAUAGUCUCUGAAAUUGAUGAAAUUUUGUUUAAAAACCUCCUCAAUUAGAAAAUAAGUCGGUUAUAAACCCUGAACAAGGAAUAAAAGUCCUAUAUUUGCCCUCGGGUCCGGCGGGUAAAUAUACGACUUAUAUCCCGCGUUCUCAGUUUAUAACUCUUACUUGUAUAUCUGGUUAAAUAUUUGCGUGAUUCUGCUUGUAUAAACAUAAAACAUGCAUAUCUACAAAAACAUGCAGUGUGACUUUGUGUUAUUCUAAUUAUUGUGAUAUUGAUAAUGUUAGAUUACUACAUUUUGAUGUACUAGGCCGGUUGCUGUGACCUCGAAAAGUGCCUAGAAAACGAUUUUCAUUAAGCAUGUCUUGGAACUGAAAUAUUUUUACGGGAACUAACACUUUCGAACACGCUUAGUUCCAAUCCGAAAACUUCCCGCACCGUACACCCGCAGUUUUCUCGCAAACUGCUAUUUUAUCUUCGCUAAUUUCACAACAAAUUUUUUCAUUGUUCAACGACACGGAUAAAGACACACGAUUCGUAUGAACCAGUCUAUACAUUGAACAAAAGACCGGUUUUGCUCGAAUUAUUUUGAGUUAUGUAAUUUUAAGCGUGUUGGACGUAAACAACAUAUCUUGUCUACAACUUUGGGAAGGCACCGAUAUCGCUUUGUAAAAUCCUCAGUUCUGGCUGUAUCUCUAUAAAAUCACAAGGACGUCAAUGUUAAGUCAUUGGGCUAUAUCUCUGGGAUGAGAAAUAAUUCCUUACAUGCGAUCAAAAUGUUUUAUAUAACGCUGUAAAACGGUAAUCGUAUGGAAUGGGUCAGCAUUUCCAUUUCCAACACAGUUUCUGAGAAGUAAUUCAAUUCAUCUGAACUAUUAUAUCAGUUGGUGUUAUUCUGUGCGAUAAGCGAAUAUUAUUGGACGUUGAAAUCACCAAAUAAACAGCUUAUGCACACAUUUCUCCACUUCGUCGUAAGUUUACAGAGCAGAUUUUAUACCUUGGCCAUGGUCGUUGUCUUUGAUAUGAACAUUUAUUCUCCUAGUUUAAGUUUAUUUAAGAUUCAUCCUGUCGUAAGUCUUCUACUAGCAACCAAUCGACAAUAUUUCACUUUAGCGUUGUCUUUGCCGUUACGUUGGCUUCGCAUUACUUUUGUUUUAAAUACCUUGAUCACGUUACAUUAGUUAUUUUUCAGGCCAGUGCUAUAGCCAAAAGACUUAGCAUUAACGUCCUUGUGAUUUUACAGAGAUAUCGCUAGAACUGAGGAUUUUAGAAGGCGUUAUCUGUGCCUUUUCAAAGUUGCAGACAAGUUAUGUUGUUUACGUGCAACACGCAUAAGAUUACAUAACUCAAAAUGAUUCGAGCAAAACCGAUCUUUUGUUAAAAGGAAGACUGGUUAAUAGAAAUUGGUCGUUUUGAGUGAUAUAAUCGUGUGGCGUCAUCGAUCCGUGUCGUUGAACAAUGAAAAAAAUUGUUGUGAAAUUAGCUAAGAUAAAAUAGCAUUUUGUGAGAAAACUGCGGGU